GUAGUCCACGCUGUAAACGUUGGGCGCUAGGUGUGGGGACUGUUUCCACGGUUUCCGUGCCGUAGCUAACGCAUUAAGCGCCCCGCCUGGGGAGUACGGCCGCAAGGCUAAAACUCAAAGGAAUUGACGGGGGCCCGCACAAGCGGCGGAGCAUGUGGAUUAAUUCGAUGCAACGCGAAGAACCUUACCUGGGUUUGACAUGCACCAGAUAGGCGUAGAGAUACGUCCUCCCUUUGUGGUUGGUGUGCAGGUGGUGCAUGGCUGUCGUCAGCUCGUGUCGUUAGAUGUUGGGUUAAGUCCCGUAACGAGCGCAACCCUUGUCCUGUGUUGCCAGCAAUGCGGUUGGGGACUCGCGGGAGACUGCCGGGGUCAACUCGGA
rnacentral:rRNA from 1 species